UAUCAUUCGCACGGAUCAGAGUCUUUUCAGUAAUAUGGAAUGUAGACCGGUCCAUAAUUCCCAAUAUUCUCAACUAGCUCCAGCAGACUUCAACAAACCUGAAAAGGGAUAUAAAGAGACUACUGAUGUAGAUGUAACAAUAAUCACUAGUAAUGGUAAUAAUUUGUAAAAUGUAUUAAAGACCAAACAACCUAUUAAUUUCUACGAAUCAAUUUUUCUUUAAAUUUUAUGUAGAGGUUUUUCAUGAUUUUGGGAAAAAAUAUGAUGAAAUAAGUGGGAAACUGUGUCCAUUGGACACACAGAAGAUGCCCCCGCUUGCAUAUACUGUUAUAAAGGAACAUAACUCAAGAACUAUAAAAGAUGCUAUCCAAAUUUGUACUUGAACUGAGUUUUGUGGUAUUUAGCAUGGUGUGUACGUUUCGU
rnacentral:lncRNA from 1 species